UUUGAUCCUGGCUCAGGAUGAACGCUGGCGGCGUGCCUAAUACAUGCAAGUCGAGCGAACGGACGAGAAGCUUGCUUCUCUGAUGUUAGCGGCGGACGGGUGAGUAACACGUGGAUAACCUACCUAUAAGACUGGGAUAACUUCGGGAAACCGGAGCUAAUACCGGAUAAUAUUUUGAACCGCAUGGUUCAAAAGUGAAAGACGGUCUUGCUGUCACUUAUAGAUGGAUCCGCGCUGCAUUAGCUAGUUGGUAAGGUAACGGCUUACCAAGGCAACGAUGCAUAGCCGACCUGAGAGGGUGAUCGGCCACACUGGAACUGAGACACGGUCCAGACUCCUACGGGAGGCAGCAGUAGGGAAUCUUCCGCAAUGGGCGAAAGCCUGACGGAGCAACGCCGCGUGAGUGAUGAAGGUCUUCGGAUCGUAAAACUCUGUUAUUAGGGAAGAACAUAUGUGUAAGUAACUGUGCACAUCUUGACGGUACCUAAUCAGAAAGCCACGGCUAACUACGUGCCAGCAGCCGCGGUAAUACGUAGGUGGCAAGCGUUAUCCGGAAUUAUUGGGCGUAAAGCGCGCGUAGGCGGUUUUUUAAGUCUGAUGUGAAAGCCCACGGCUCAACCGUGGAGGGUCAUUGGAAACUGGAAAACUUGAGUGCAGAAGAGGAAAGUGGAAUUCCAUGUGUAGCGGUGAAAUGCGCAGAGAUAUGGAGGAACACCAGUGGCGAAGGCGACUUUCUGGUCUGUAACUGACGCUGAUGUGCGAAAGCGUGGGGAUCAAACAGGAUUAGAUACCCUGGUAGUCCACGCCGUAAACGAUGAGUGCUAAGUGUUAGGGGGUUUCCGCCCCUUAGUGCUGCAGCUAACGCAUUAAGCACUCCGCCUGGGGAGUACGACCGCAAGGUUGAAACUCAAAGGAAUUGACGGGGACCCGCACAAGCGGUGGAGCAUGUGGUUUAAUUCGAAGCAACGCGAAGAACCUUACCAAAUCUUGACAUCCUUUGACAACUCUAGAGAUAGAGCCUUCCCCUUCGGGGGACAAAGUGACAGGUGGUGCAUGGUUGUCGUCAGCUCGUGUCGUGAGAUGUUGGGUUAAGUCCCGCAACGAGCGCAACCCUUAAGCUUAGUUGCCAUCAUUAAGUUGGGCACUCUAAGUUGACUGCCGGUGACAAACCGGAGGAAGGUGGGGAUGACGUCAAAUCCCAUCAUGCCCCUUAUGAUUUGGGCUACACACGUGCUACAAUGGACAAUACAAAGGGCAGCGAAACCGCGAGGUCAAGCAAAUCCCAUAAAGUUGUUCUCAGUUCGGAUUGUAGUCUGCAACUCGACUACAUGAAGCUGGAAUCGCUAGUAAUCGUAGAUCAGCAUGCUACGGUGAAUACGUUCCCGGGUCUUGUACACACCGCCCGUCACACCACGAGAGUUUGUAACACCCGAAGCCGGUGGAGUAACCUUUUAGGAGCUAGCCGUCGAAGGUGGGACAAAUGAUUGGGGUGAAGUCGUAACAAGGUAGCCGUAUCGGAAGGUGCGGCUGGAUCACCUCCUUUCU
rnacentral:rRNA from 1 species